ensembl:snRNA U6 U6 spliceosomal RNA
UUGCUUCAGCGGCACAUAUAUUUAAAUUGGAAUAUGCAGAGAAGAUUAGCAUUGCCUUUGAGCAAGGAUGACGUGCACAUUUUUGACACUUUCGUGUUUUUA